UGGGCAACCUGCCCUCAGCUCUGGGAUAACUCCAAGAAAUUGGGGCUAAUACCGGAUAUGACUGCUGACCGCAUGGUCUGGUGGUGGAAAGAUUUAUCGGCUGGGGAUGGGCCCGCGGCCUAUCAGCUUGUUGGUGGGGUAGUGGCCUACCAAGGCGACGACGGGUAGUCGGCCUGAGAGGGUGACCGCGACCAC
rnacentral:rRNA from 1 species